AAAGCAAGUCUCAGCUUCUUUGAUUGGGUCAAGAUAUUCACGAUCCAAUCAAUUUUAUGAAAAUCAUAACUUGCGAAAUAGAAAUCGGCAGUAUCACUCGCCUGGAUCUGAUUAUAAUCAUGAUUAUCCAGGCCCUUAAUCUACUGGCACAAUCUUUUGAAAUUAGAUUUUGUUGUUGUUGUUUUGGGCAAACGCACUCUGUCCCAAGACCAUU
rnacentral:sRNA from 1 species